GAUGAACGCUGGCGGCGUGCCUAAUACAUGCAAGUCGAGCGAACAGACGAGGAGCUUGCUCCUCUGACGUUAGCGGCGGACGGGUGAGUAACACGUGGAUAACCUACCUAUAAGACUGGGAUAACUUCGGGAAACCGGAGCUAAUACCGGAUAAUAUAUUGAACCGCAUGGUUCAAUAGUGAAAGACGGUUUUGCUGUCACUUAUAGAUGGAUCCGCGCCGCAUUAGCUAGUUGGUAAGGUAACGGCUUACCAAGGCGACGAUGCGUAGCCGACCUGAGAGGGUGAUCGGCCACACUGGAACUGAGACACGGUCCAGACUCCUACGGGAGGCAGCAGUAGGGAAUCUGCCGCAAUGGGCGAAAGCCUGACGGAGCAACGCCGCGUGAGGGAUGAAGGUCUUCGGAUCGUAAAACUCUGUUAUUAGGGAAGAACAAAUGUGUAAGUAACUAUGCACGUCUUGACGGUACCUAAUCAGAAAGCCACGGCUAACUACGUG
rnacentral:rRNA from 1 species